rnacentral:rRNA from 1 species
UACGUAGGGUGCGAGCGUUAAUCGGAAUUACUGGGCGUAAAGUGUGCGCAGGCGGCCGCGCAAGUCGAGUGUGAAAUCCCCGAGCUUAACUUGGGAAUUGCGCUCGAAACUACGUGGCUGGAGUGUGGCAGAGGAAGGUGGAAUUCCACGUGUAGCGGUGAAAUGCGUAGAUAUGUGGAGGAACACCGAUGGCGAAGGCAGCCCUUCUGGGCCAACACUGACGCUCAUGCACGAAAGCGUGGGGAGCAAACAGG